AUGAUGAUGAAAGAGAUAAAGAAGUAGUAAAAGAAAAUAUGAAAUCGAAAAUGGAUGGCUGGAUGGAUAUUACAGUCCUUGGAGGAAGUAAACAAAAACAAAAAAAUGGAUGGGGGAUUGAACCUGACGCUGAUUUUCCAGCUUGCCAUGUAGUAUCAGAGGCAUAACAGAGAUGGAUCGCCGUCAAAUCUGAACAGUGUGAAGUUGAAGACCCGAGAUUCAAGACUCGCACCUUAUUGUGUUCAAAGCAACUUCAGCGGUCACGGAUGCGAGCAUGAGCGCAUCUAAUUAUCCAAAGGCGCAAAGCCGCAAGGUCUGCGUGAACAAGUUCUGGUGGAAAUAGCUGGUACAAGCGAGUUUGUUCCUGUCUGCAAUUUUUAAUGUGUAAAAUGUGCUUGGGGUUGCAGAGUUUGGAUUUUUUGCAUUCAGGAUAUAUUUCCAUCUGUAUUUUUUGUUCAUAAUUCUUCUCUUCGUAUUGUUUCCUCAACAGCUGGGUGCAUAAUACACUUGAACAAAUGA